rnacentral:snoRNA from 1 species
CCAACGUGGAUACACCCGGGAGGUCACUCUCCCCGGGCUCUGUCCAAGUGGCGUAGGGGAGCAUAGGGCUCUGCCCCAUGAUGUACAGUCCCUUUCCACAACGUUGGAGAUGAAGCUGGGCCUCGUGUCCGCGCCUGCAUAUUCCUACAGCUUCCCAGAGUCCUGUGGACAAUGACUGGGGAGACAAACCAUGCAGGAAACAGCC